rnacentral:rRNA from 1 species
UACGUAGGGGGCGAGCGUUGUCCGGAUUCAUUGGGCGUAAAGGGCGCGCAGGCGGCCCGGAAAGUCGGAUGUGAAAACUCGAGGCUCAACCUCGAGCGUGCACCCGAUACUGCCGGGCUUGAGGCAGGUAGGGGAGAUCGGAAUUCCUGGUGUAGCGGUGAAAUGCGCAGAUAUCAGGAGGAACACCGGUGGCGAAGGCGGAUCUCUGGGCCUGUCCUGACGCUGAGGCGCGAAAGCUAGGGGAGCGAACAGG